UUCUGGCAAUAAAGUAAAGGAAGAGGAGGCAUUAGCAGACACAACGAGCACAGAAUCAAAGUGAGCUCCACCAGCAGACAUGAGGGGCUUGGACGGAAACUUCCGGAAGUUUGGUUCACUGUCAUGUGAGUUUGCUGCCACAGACAGAGCUUUCCAUCUCCCAGCCGCUCCCAGGACUGGCCACGUGUUUUGCGGGCACAGUUUCACUCCCUGUUGGAGCCCAGAGGGCUGGCCAUCCUCCCACCUCUUCACCAGAGCGCGAUUCGUGGAUUCCACGCCUACCUGCCGAGUAUUCACGCCUUACAGAGUGAAUGCAACCAGCGCAGACCCUCCGAGCCGCAGGUGAACAGAGGGAGCCAGCCCUGCUCCUAGAAUUGCUGGCAGCCUACGCUGCAACGUGACGGAACCGAAAGGGAUCCCGAAGGUGAGAGAAGAGGAACAAGCAGUGUAAUAACAGAUGUCACCGGGCCUGCCACAAUCAGGGCCUGGUCGGGUCUGUGGGUGGGCCUGGCGGGGCUCAGAACCAAUAGGAAUGCGGUGGGAAUGUGGGGUUUAGUAAGAAGUCGCCCUUACACACUGUGGGAGGGGCUGGGGAAGCCAAGGACCCCGGGAGGAGUUGGAGGGUCAAAGGGUCACUGAGUAAACCUGAAGCUUGGGCAAGGACAAGCAAGCACAGCCAGCUGCCGAGGUGGGGCCACCAAGGGCGAGUCACGGCAAGGCUGAUGGGAUGCUGUCAGCAGGACCAGCAACCAGGCGACAGCGGGAUGCGGAGCAGAGGAGAGAAGAAGCUGGGACCCCCGGGCACCUCUGCUCUGUCCCCCACUGACGAGGCCGCUUACUAUUCUGACCACGAUUACCUUCUGUGCCUCCCACAAACUCCUCUUGUAGGAUUGUCAUAUAAAAUUCAGGAUGUCCCAUUAAAUUUGAAUUACAGAUCAACAGUGGAUAAUCUUGUAGCAUAGUAAGUCCCAAGCAAUAUCGGAGACAUACUGAGAAACUGUUUGCUAUUGAUGUGAAAUUCAAAUUUAACUGGGAGUCCUAUUACUUUAUUUGCUAAAUCUUUGGCCAGCUCCUGCCAGAACUUUCCAAGGAAAGGGGAAUCCAGACAGGGUCCUGCCCCCAGGAGUUGACAGUAGCAAUGGCUACCACGAUGGAGGGCCUCCCGCACACCAAGUCCUGCACACACAGCACCUCAUCUAUCCCCCACAGCCCAGGAGGACAGCUUUUACUCCCACUGCACUGCAGAUAAGGAAACUGAGGUUCAGGAAGAACACACAAUUGACUAAACAUUUUAUGGGUGGGGAUAACAGUAAUAGCUAGCACUUAAGCAGCACUUACAACGUCAGGCUCAGCUCUAAGAGGUCUGUGCAUAAGGUCCCACUUAACCCUUUUUAACAAGUCUGUGAGGAACUGUUGUUGGACCCAUUUCACAGGUAAGGAAAUAAAGUCACGUUAAUAGUAGGUGGCCUGGUCAGGAUUCGAACCACUGCGACUCCAGUCCGUGCUCUUCCCCAUCAUCGUAAACCACCGCUGAGCCACUACCUACACCACCUCCUGCUCUUGGCGAAGCAGUAUUCACCCACAGGAAGCUCACAGGGCCCAGGUGGCAGGUGUCGUCCAGAGCUCACUGGGGUGCAGUGAAGUGGACUGAGCUGACAACGUUGGAGGUAGAAAUCACUGUGAUCGAGGGGUUCUGAGGGAGGGUUCAGGAGGCAGAUAGGUGCGAGACCUGAACACUUGGGACAGCAAAGGGCAAGUCCACAGCCGUGUCAGGAACUGUGAACAUGUGAAGUAAGUAUCACCGAGCACUGAGCACUUCACAGGGGCCAGGUGCUGCCCUAGCAUUGAAAUGACCAUCCUCGGUCCUCCCAGUCACCCCCCAGAGGACUGUCCCCAUCUUACAAACUAGAAAUCAGGGGUUCAGAAGGGCCACGCAGCUUGCUGAGGUCACCCCACCAGGAAGAGGCAGGAUGGGAACUGUACAGGUGACCCCCAUGCCAGCUGGCGCAGCUUCCAGGCCACCUUCCUUCCACUUGCUUGCAAGGAUUCACAUCCUUAGAUUCAAGGCAGGGAGGCAGGUGCACUACAGCCGGAUCAGAUGAAAUGGAUGUCAUCGCUGCUUCCAGAGGUGACAGAGAGACGGGGUUUGCUCUGAGCAAGGCAGGCUUCAUCUCAGAUCCUGCAAACACUCUCCCUGGCCGCUGAGCAGCCUUCUGCUCAAGGAGGCGGAGGACAGCUGAGCCGCCCGCCCUGGGCAGGGAGAGCUGCCGUCCCGUCCUCAGGCAGAGAGCUCAUCUGAUGGAGAAAACUCCGGCUGAGGCUUCCAUCCGGGGAGAAUGGAGGAGGAUAGCAGAAAUGGACUCCUCCUCCCGGGGACCACCUUGACACCGUGCCUGCUGUGCACAACUUCAUCCGUCCUUUUCCUGUGAAUCUACAGGUUUUCCAAGAAUUCUCCAGUGGGUGCUUCAGAGUUUCCGCCGCAGGGGUGGAGAGCCUGAGGUUCUCAUCCAGAUUUGCCAGCGGGGCAAUUUGAUGAAUCUCUCUUUCAGCUUCUGAAAACGUUCUAGGGGGGAGACGCAGAAAAGAUUACAGGAAAAGUGAAUGAGGGGAGUCUGGACAGGACCUGCCACCAGGAACAGAGGAUGGACGGGCCUGCUGGGCAAGGCCACCCAAACCCAUGAUGACGAGGGUCACUCUACAUUAUGCAUUAGAAUUAGGACAGGGUUGGCAUUCAAUUGUGACUCGGAAGGGUUAUUGGGGUCACCAUGAAGCUGGGUUUCUGGGAAGGAAUCACACCGGGAAGAUACAGACCUGCUGUCCAGGACCCACUGAGGACCCUCCCUGUGUGGCUGUAUCUUUUGGCUCCUUUGCGUCCAUCAGCCCUCGGCUCAAGGCGACUGGAGAGGUCCUGUAUGAAGAGCUCAGACUGGCCAGUGCACUACCCAGUUACGUUAUCGACUAGAAGCCUGUCACUUCCGUCACAGGCCUUCUCUGUGCUCUUUCCAGAAGGGAAAUCACAGUCAAGGCCAGCCCAGAGUGGAAAGUCAGACAGACACGCAGACGGAGUCAAACCAGCUCUCAGAUCCCGGAGUCACUGAUAGAAACUAACACAGCAACAAGAACGUUAGCGCGUAUACAAGGACAGCCUUGGCCCCUUGGUGUCCGCACUGUGACAGAUUUUAACCUUUCGCUGGAUGAGUUUGGAAUUUUUGAAUUUUGAUUAAGUUUGUAUUCCAUUUGAAAUAAGAAAAAAGAUCUUUUUUAAUGUAAAAAAAAAAAAGGAAAGAAAAAGAUACUGAGGGCAGCAAUUGCCGAAGCUUACCAGUGAGGUACAUACUUAAUGUCAUUUCGCCUAAAAAGCACACAACACUCUCUUUUUUACUAAAUUAUGACUCCCUUAGUGAAAAAACACGGAAGCACGUCGCAGGCGGGACACUGAGCUGGAGUCCUUUCAGGGCCGUGGGAACGUGGCAUCGAAUCCAUUUCUCCCUGUUGAAGGAGGUUUUUCUCGUUCUCUGGUUUAAAAUAACUCGGUGGAUGGUACUUAAUUUCGGGAAUUGUUCUAGGCAUGUGUUUUCCCAGCAGGACACAGAAAGCGAUGCCCCCAGAGGUGGGCGGGGGGCCUUGAGAACUUGGCUCUGCCCCAGCGUGCAGUCACUUCUGGAAGGUUUCUCGGCUGGGGCCCAUUGUCCUGACUUACUGGUUCUACACCCCGCAGAGGAAAAUCGCUGUUAAUACCGUCUUCAGGUCGAUGCAGGACGAGCAGCCCCCUCCAGACGCCACUUACAGGCAAUCCUCGUUCAAAAGAAAGAUCGCGGAGGGUGGACGUGCCCCAGGCAGAGGAGCAUGGGGAAGGGACUUCCCUCGGUGAGCGAGGGCAGCUCAUUCAGUCAUCACUACCCAGUUCCUGAAGCCGACAACUAAAGCCGACACGCAGACGACCGAGAAAGAGCAGGUGGGGGGACCCUGAUAGAAAGCAAGUCUCAUCAACGGGCUCGCCCUGGCCCUACACCUCGCUAGCUGCCCUUCCUCCCUCUGCCGUCUGUCACCUGCACGGCCACCACCUUCAUCCCUGGCCUGCAUCACUAGAGAGAGGGCAGCCGCCUCCCGCCUGGCCUCCUGCUCCACUCUGGGCCCAGAGAGAUUGUUUUACUGUUGGUCAGGUGCAAACAGCCCAAAUGUCCAUAACCGGCUGACUGGAUAGACAAAAUGUGGUCUGUGCACACGAUGGAGUAUUAUUCAGUCGUAAAAAGGGAAGAGGUUCUGACAUGCGACACGAUGGAUAAACCUUGAAAACAUUGUGCUAAAUAAAAGAAGCCAGUCACGAAGGACCCCAUAUUGUACGAUUCCGUUUAUGUGAAAUGUCUGGAAUAGGCAAAUCCACAGGGACAGAAAGUAGCGUAGUGGUUACCAGGGGCUGGGGGAGGGAGGAAUGGGAGGGACUGCUCAAUGGGUUAGGGGCUUCUUUUGGGGGUGAUGAAAACAUUCUGGAAUUAGACGGUGGAGACGGCUACACAACAUUGUGAACUGUACACUUGAAAAAGAUUAAAACAGUGAAUCUUA